rnacentral:rRNA from 1 species
GGGUUGUGAGGUUAAGCGACUAAGCGUACACGGUGGAUGCCCUGGCAGUCAGAGGCGAUGAAGGACGUGCUAAUCUGCGAAAAGCGUCGGUAAGGUGAUAUGAACCGUUACAGCCGGCGAUGUCCGAAUGGGGAAACCCAGUGUGAUUCGUCACACUAUCGUUAACUGAAUACAUAGGUUAACGAGGCGAACCGGGGGAACUGAAACAUCUAAGUACCCCGAGGAAAAGAAAUCAACCGAGAUUCCCCCAGUAGCGGCGAGCGAACGGGGAGCAGCCCAGAGUCUGAAUCAGCUUGUGUGUUAGUGGAACGGUCUGGAAAGUCCGACGGUACAGGGUGAUAGUCCCGUACACCAAAAUGCACAGGCUGUGAACUCGAAGAGUAGGGCGGGACACGUGGUAUCCUGUCUGAAUAUGGGGGGACCAUCCUCCAAGGCUAAAUACUCCUGACUGACCGAUAGUGAACCAGUACCGUGAGGGAAAGGCGAAAAGAACCCCGGCGAGGGGAGUGAAAAAGAACCUGAAACCGUGUACGUACAAGCAGUGGGAGCACCUUCGGGUGUGACUGCGUACCUUUUGUAUAAUGGGUCAGCGACUUAUAUUCUGUAGCAAGGUUAACCGUAUAGGGGAGCCGCAGGGAAACCGAGUCUUAACUGGGCGUUAAGUUGCAGGGUAUAGACCCGAAACCCGGUGAUCUAGCCAUGGGCAGGUUGAAGGUUGGGUAACACUAACUGGAGGACCGAACCGACUAAUGUUGAAAAAUUAGCGGAUGACUUGUGGCUGGGGGUGAAAGGCCAAUCAAACCGGGAGAUAGCUGGUUCUCCCCGAAAGCUAUUUAGGUAGCGCCUCGUGAACUCAUCUUCGGGGGUAGAGCACUGUUUCGGCUAGGGGGUCAUCCCGACUUACCAACCCGAUGCAAACUACGAAUACCGAAGAAUGUUAUCACGGGAGACACACGGCGGGUGCUAACGUCCGUCGUGAAGAGGGAAACAACCCAGACCGCCAGCUAAGGUCCCAAAGUCACAGUUAAGUGGGAAACGAUGUGGGAAGGCACAGACAGCCAGGAUGUUGGCUUAGAAGCAGCCAUCAUUUAAAGAAAGCGUAAUAGCUCACUGGUCGAGUCGGCCUGCGCGGAAGAUGUAACGGGGCUAAACUGUGCACCGAAGCUGCGGCAGCGACACUAUGUGUUGUUGGGUAGGGGAGCGUUCUGUAAGCCUGCGAAGGUGGCCUGUGAGGGUUGCUGGAGGUAUCAGAAGUGCGAAUGCUGACAUAAGUAACGAUAAUGCGGGUGAAAAGCCCGCACGCCGGAAGACCAAGGGUUCCUGUCCAACGUUAAUCGGGGCAGGGUGAGUCGACCCCUAAGGCGAGGCCGAAAGGCGUAGUCGAUGGGAAACAGGUUAAUAUUCCUGUACUUGGUGUUACUGCGAAGGGGGGACGGAGAAGGCUAUGUUAGCCGGGCGACGGUUGUCCCGGUUUAAGCAUGUAGGCGGAGGUUCCAGGUAAAUCCGGUACCUUUUUAACGCUGAGGUGUGAUGACGAGGCACUACGGUGCUGAAGUAACAAAUGCCCUGCUUCCAGGAAAAGCCUCUAAGCAUCAGGUAACAUUAAAUCGUACCCCAAACCGACACAGGUGGUCAGGUAGAGAAUACCAAGGCGCUUGAGAGAACUCGGGUGAAGGAACUAGGCAAAAUGGUGCCGUAACUUCGGGAGAAGGCACGCUGAUAUGUAGGUGAAGCCCCUGCGGGUGGAGCUGAAAUCAGUCGAAGAUACCAGCUGGCUGCAACUGUUUAUUAAAAACACAGCACUGUGCAAACACGAAAGUGGACGUAUACGGUGUGACGCCUGCCCGGUGCCGGAAGGUUAAUUGAUGGGGUUAUCCGUAAGGAGAAGCUCUUGAUCGAAGCCCCGGUAAACGGCGGCCGUAACUAUAACGGUCCUAAGGUAGCGAAAUUCCUUGUCGGGUAAGUUCCGACCUGCACGAAUGGCGUAAUGAUGGCCAGGCUGUCUCCACCCGAGACUCAGUGAAAUUGAACUCGCUGUGAAGAUGCAGUGUACCCGCGGCAAGACGGAAAGACCCCGUGAACCUUUACUAUAGCUUGACACUGAACAUUGAGCCUUGAUGUGUAGGAUAGGUGGGAGGCUUUGAAGCGUGGACGCCAGUCUGCGUGGAGCCAACCUUGAAAUACCACCCUUUAAUGUUUGAUGUUCUAACGUUGGCCCCUGAUCGGGGUUGCGGACAGUGUCUGGUGGGUAGUUUGACUGGGGCGGUCUCCUCCCAAAGAGUAACGGAGGAGCACGAAGGUUAGCUAAUCCUGGUCGGACAUCAGGAGGUUAGUGCAAUGGCAUAAGCUAGCUUGACUGCGAGCGUGACGGCGCGAGCAGGUGCGAAAGCAGGUCAUAGUGAUCCGGUGGUUCUGAAUGGAAGGGCCAUCGCUCAACGGAUAAAAGGUACUCCGGGGAUAACAGGCUGAUACCGCCCAAGAGUUCAUAUCGACGGCGGUGUUUGGCACCUCGAUGUCGGCUCAUCACAUCCUGGGGCUGAAGUAGGUCCCAAGGGUAUGGCUGUUCGCCAUUUAAAGUGGUACGCGAGCUGGGUUUAGAACGUCGUGAGACAGUUCGGUCCCUAUCUGCCGUGGGCGCUGGAGAAUUGAGGGGGGCUGCUCCUAGUACGAGAGGACCGGAGUGGACGCAUCACUGGUGUUCGGGUUGUCAUGCCAAUGGCAUUGCCCGGUAGCUAAAUGCGGAAGAGAUAAGUGCUGAAAGCAUCUAAGCACGAAACUUGCCCCGAGAUGAGUUCUCCCUGAGACUUUAAGUCUCCUGAAGGAACGUUAAAGACGAUGACGUUGAUAGGUCGGGUGUGUAAGCGUAGCGAUACGUUGAGCUAACCGAUACUAAUGAACCGUGAGGCUUAACCUUACAACGCCGAAGCUGUU